ACUCGUAUUUUUUGUUGUUUGGAUGUUACGGUUAUCCUGUUUGGAUGUAGACAAAUUUACUAACGCACCACCUGGUUCAUAUUUUUCACCUAUUUUUUUUUGUAUUUUUGUUGUUAAUUUUGUUUCAUUUUCUUUUGGACCUUAGGUUCUUUCAUUGUCUUUUUCUUUAUUACACCUUUGUUCUGAUAGCAGGUUAUUUUAUCUUUUUAUUUUCAUUAGUAAAAUUAUUUGAUUAAUUUUAUUUUAGUUAAUUGAUUUUACUAAUCGAAUUUAAUUAAUGUGAUUAAUCAAUUGAAUUAAUUUUAAAUUGAUUAUUUGACUAAUUAAUUAAAUAUGGUAAUCCAUUUGAUUAUUUGAUUAAUGGACCUCAAAUCUCUUUUAUUUUCUUCAUUAUCCCUAUGUAACCAAAUGUACCCACAUCCCUUGAUUAUAAUUUCUUGCACCAUUUCACUUUGUUUUCGUGUUGUUU
rnacentral:lncRNA from 1 species